CCGACGAAUUAUUUAGUGAGAUCUCUGGAGGUGAGCGUUGCGAUGUUUCGGCAUUGCGAUUGUUUCGCCAAAGUUGAUCAAACUUGAUGAUUUGGAGGAAAUAAAAGUCGUAACAAGGUUUCCGUAGGUGAACCUGCGGAAGGAUCAUUA
rnacentral:rRNA from 1 species